GCCGCGGUAGCUCAGCGUGGGAGAGCGCCCGGCUGAAGACCGGGUUGUCGCCGGUUCAAGUCCGGCCCGCGGCACCA
rnacentral:tRNA from 1 species